rnacentral:rRNA from 1 species
AGAGUUUGAUCCUGGCUCAGAUUGAACGCUGGCGGCGUGCUUAACACAUGCAAGUCGAUCGGUAACAGGUGUAGCAAUACAUGCUGACGAGAGGCGGACGGGUGAGGAAUAUUUGGGAAUCUGCCCAUCAGCGGGGGACAACCCGGGGAAACUCGGGCUAAUACCGCAUACGCUCUACGGAGGAAAGCCGGGGACCGCAAGGCCUGGCACUGAUGGAUGAGCCCAAAUCGGAUUAGCUAGUUGGCGGGGUAACGGCCCACCAAGGCGACGAUCCGUAGCUGGUCUGAGGGGACGAUCAGCCACACCGGAACUGAGACACGGUCCGGACUCCUACGGGAGGCAGCAGUGGGGAAUAUUGGACAAUGGGGGAAACCCUGAUCCAGCGACGCCGCGUGGGUGAAGAAGGCCUGCGGGUUGUAAAGCCCUUUCGGUAGGGAAGAAAUCUCUUGUCUUAACACGGCAGGAGUUUGACUUAACCUACAUAAGAAGCACCGGCUAACUCUGUGCCAGCAGCCGCGGUAAUACAGAGGGUGCGAGCGUUAAUCGGAAUUACUGGGCGUAAAGCGCACGUAGUCGGCUUGCCCAAGUCGGGUGUGAAAUCCCCGGGCUCAACCUGGGAACUGCAUCCGAAACUGGCUUGCUAGAGUAUGGGAGAGGGAGGCGGAAUUUCUGGUGUAGCAGUGAAAUGCGUAGAUAUCAGAAGGAACAUCAGUGGCGAAGGCGGCCUCCUGGACCAAUACUGACGAUCAGGUGCGAAAGCGUGGGGAGCAAACAGGAUUAGAUACCCUGGUAGUCCACGC